AUUGAACGCUGGCUGCCGGCUUAACACAUGCCAGUCGAGCGAGCGGCGGACGGGUGAGUAAUGUCUGGGAAACUGACUGAUGGAGGGGGAUAACUACUGGAAACGGUAGCUACUACCGCAUACCAUCAGAUGUGCCCAGAUGGGCUUAGCUAGUAGGUGGGGUAAUGGCUCACCUAGGCGACGAUCCCUAGCUGGUCUGAGAGGAUUACCAGCAACACUGGAACUGUGACACGGACAGGACUACUGCGUGAGGCAGCAGUGGGGAAUAUUGCACAAUGGGCGCAAGCAUGAUGCAGCCAUGCCGCGUGUGUGAAGAAGGCCUGCGGGUUGUAAAGCACGUUCAGCGAGGAGGCGUUACUCGCAGAACAAGCACGGGAGAACUCCGUGCCAGCCGCCGCGGUAAUUC
rnacentral:rRNA from 1 species